rnacentral:lncRNA from 1 species
ACUUGACCAAAGUCAGACAACAGUGAUUAUAUUACUACAGUGAUUCUGGAGUGUUCUCAACAAAUAAUAACCUCAGAAACAAGUAGGCACUUGGAGACAUUGGGCUGUGGAUUCAGGUUGCCUAGGUUUGAAUCCUAGUCCCAACAUUUACUAAGGCUCUCUGAUAGUGGGCACAUUAUUUAACUUCCUCAGACCUGUUUCCCCAUCUACAAAAUUGGAUUACCUAUGCUCCAAGAGAGAGGCCAUGUGGGUACACCAUGAGAAGUCUGUCAUCUACAGGAAAGGAAGAGAGCCCUCCCAGGAAACUGACUUUGCCAGACUUUGACCUGGAACGUCUAUUCUCCAGAACUCCUCAACAUGAAGAUGAUGAAAAUGGAGACCUUCAUCGUGAUCCACUUCUAAUUAAUGAAUAGGAGGCUUGGGCCGAACUGGGUGAUCAGACAUCAUACACAGAGAAGGAGCAAGAGAGAGAUUACACAGAGGAGGAACAAGGUGUGCAGCGGACAGCCAGUGCCAAGACCUCAGACACGCCUCCCUCUUUCUCUACCUUUCUACCUCCCUCCCUGCCUUCCUUCUGUUUUCCUUUAAUUAAGACUGGUGUCUCAGUGAUGAUCUGAAGAGAUGCUCACUGCGUGCUUACAAGUUCUUCCACACACGCUGUUCUCAGCUGUUCUCAUGGUGUGCACUCUCCUGCUAAGAGCUGCAAAGUGGGGCCUCUUCUGAUUUGGUAAAGAAGAAUCUGACUUUGUGCAAGAAAUAA